UUAGUACUCCUUCCGUCCAGCAAAGAAUGUCUCAACUUUGACUAAAUUUGAAUGCAUCUAUACACUAAGUCAUGUUUAGAUACAUUCAAAUUUUGACAAACUUGAGACAUCCUUUGUUGGACGGAAGGAGUAUGAC
rfam:Brachypodium distachyon strain Bd21 chromosome 3, whole genome shotgun sequence.